rnacentral:snRNA from 1 species
UAAACGGCGCUCGCUUCCAAUACUAGAAUUGGAACGAUACAGAGAAAAUUAGCACGGCCCCUGCACAAGGAUGACACACAAAUUUGCGAGCUGUUCCAUAUUUUU